rnacentral:misc_RNA from 1 species
GCAUGCAAAAAAUAAAAACUGCCAGUGUUUCCUUUCUAACAAGAGGCCAACGAGGAUUCCUCGUGUCUCCCCAAAUAUAUCAACACAUCACGGAUAAAAGUCAGCGCCUAGUAUCGAAAAUGGGGAAAACAACAAAAGACAAGAGAGAUAUUUACUACCGCAUGGCAAAAACUGAAGGGUGGAGAGCAAGGAGUGCUUUUAAACUGAUACAAAUUGAUGAAGAAUAUAAUAUUCUUUCAGGUGUACAAAGAGUUGUUGACCUUUGUGCAGCCCCAGGUAGCUGGAGUCAGGUUUUGUCCCAGAAAUUAAGGUCCAAAAAUGAGAGUGCAGACGAUAAUGUGAAGAUAGUGGCAGUGGAUUUGCAGUCAAUGGCCCCAAUUCCUGGUGUUAUCUGCAUACGGGGUGACAUAACAGAAACCAAUACAGCAGAAAGAAUAAUAAAAGAGUUUGAUGGAUGUCCAGCAGAUCUCGUCAUUUGUGAUGGUGCACCAGAUGUUACUGGUCUACAUGAUCUUGAUGAGUAUGUUCAAUCGCAGUUGUUGCUAGCUGCAUUUAAUAUUACAUCACAUGUUUUGAAGCCAGGUGGAACAUUUCUUGCAAAGGUGUUCCGUGGAAAUGAUAUUGAUUUGGUUUAUUCACAGAUGAAGAUAUUUUUUCCCAGUGUUGUUGUUGUCAAACCAAGCAGCUCACGAAAUUCUAGUAUUGAGGCUUACAUACUGUGCAGGAACUACACACCACCUGAAGGCUACAAACCAACUAUGCUAAAUCCAUUACUUACACAAACAGAUUGUGACUUCAGGUCUCUCACUGAAGUUAACCGUGCUAUUGUUCCUUUUCUAAGCUGUGGAGAUUUGAAUCUGUACUGAUAGACAUCACUCAUUGGCAGAAGAACUGUCAAAUUUCAAGAAGAAGAUAGGUUGUUGUUAUGGCUACUUCAUAAUAGUGACAGUAGCGAAAUGCAUCAAACAAGAAAAGUCCAGGAUGAAACAACAACAAUAUGGAAAGGAUAGAUUGCUGCUCACCACAUAGAGGAGGCAAUGUGUCACAGACAGGUACAGUGAAAAAGACUGCUGAAGCACCUCUGUGUGCCAAAUGGAGAAUGACUUAACUGCAGUCGCAACUGUCCUUACUGGCUGCUUGUUACUUAAAUAACUUCAGUUGUGGGUGGUGCUAGAACCUCACAUGGCCUCCAACAAACAUUUACUAAGUGUUAAUUACUCUGUUAUAGUGUCAGUGGUUUUUGUUUCAGGUUGCAGUAGUUUAUUCUGUGCAGAAACAUAAUGAUUGAAGCAUAUUACUUGUUUCUUAGAAAGGUAUUUUAUCUUGUAGUGUAAAUUUUGUCAAUACUUUGAUGCAGUAAGUGUACCUGUGGAGAAAGUUCCAGAAAGCUUGCAGUUCUUGUGGUACAAAUACAAAUUCUUCCAACAAAUCGAUUUUGUAAUAUUUGUAUGCAAUACAGCAAUUGAACUGGAGUCACUCUGCCAUCUCUUUAUUCACAUCAUGUGGCAGAAUGAUAUUGAAUGUUUCCAACGACUCGGACAGUGUUUGAAUACAUGAGGUUAACGGUUUGUGAUAUACGCUAAGUUCACUACUGAACUAUAAAUUUUGAACAGAAUGGUGUAAUUUCUUGUGAAUUGACAGUGCAGCAUGUGUUUCUGUAAUCCUAAAUGGUACCAAAACAAAUGUGU